CCUCGUCAACCUGGCCUCUGGCGAGGCCAAGCUCAUCGACUUUGGCUGCAGCACAAUCCUCCAGGACACCUUCUACACCUGGACAGCAGGAACGCGAGACUACUUCCUGCCGGAGUGGAUCCUCUUCGGCUGCUACCACGGCCAGCCAGCCACCAUCUAGUCCCCGGGCAUCCUGCUCUAUCAGCUGGUGUGCGGGCACCUUCCUUUCAAAACCGGAGAGGACAUCGUUCGGGGCCAGCUCUUCUUCCCAUCCCAUGUGUCUCAAGAGUGCCAGCACCUCAUCAGGUGGUGUUUAUGCAUGGACUCUACAGACAGGCCAUGCCUGGAAGACCCUGUAGUGCAUUCUUGGCUGCAGAAGCCCCACCUGGCCCAGGAGACAGCAGAGAUCCAUCCCUCUGCACAGUAGGAUCCAGGAGCCCAGCAAGUACCAGCUGCUCGCACCUCAUGGCGCUCAGUGAAAUCCCCAGAGGGUUUCCCUGCGGCCGCGG